UCAGGGGCUUCGGCCUCUGGCUAGUGGCGCACGGUCGAGUAACACGUAGACAACCUGCCCGGCAGUGGGGGACAACCGGGGGAAACCCCGGCUAAUACCGCAUACGGUGAGAGGGGGCCUCCCUUCUUUACCAAAGGGACUUCGGUCUCGCUGCCGGAGGGGUCUGCGGCCUAUCAGCUCGUUGGUGAGGUAACGGCUCACCAAGGCGACGACGGGUAGCGGGUCUGAGAGGAUGAUCCGCCGGACGGGGACUGAGACACGGCCCCGACUCCUUCGGGAGGCAGCAAUGAGGGAUAUUGCGCAAUGGGGGAAACCCUGACGCAGCGACGCCGCGUGGGUGAGGAAGUCCUUCGGGAUGUAAAGCCCUUUUCUCGGGGAAGAGAUGGACUGUACCCGAGGAAGAAGCCCCGGCUAACUACGUGCCAGCAGCCGCGGUAAUACGUAGGGGGCAAGCGUUGUCCGGAUUUACUGGGCGUAAAGCGCCCGUAGGCGGGAGGGCAAGUCUGGCUUGAAAGCCCCCGGCUCAACCGGGGAAGGUGGCUGGAAACUGCUCUUCUGGAGGGCGGCAGAGGCGUGUGGAAUUCCUGGUGUAGCGGUGAAAUGCGUAGAGAUCAGGAGGAACACCCAUGGCGAAGGCAGCACGCUGGGCCGACCCUGACGCUGAGGGGCGAAAGCGUGGGGAGCGAACGGGAUUAGAUACCCCGGUAGUCCACGCCGUAAACGCUGGUCACUAGGUGUGUGCGGUAUCGACCCCGCACGUGCCGCCGCUUACGCAAUAAGUGACCCGCCUGGGGAGUA
rnacentral:rRNA from 1 species